rnacentral:tRNA from 7 species
CGGGGCGUGGCGCAGUCUGGUAGCGCACUUGUUUUGGGUACAAGGGGUCGUUGGUUCGAAUCCAGCCGUCCCGACCA